rnacentral:rRNA from 1 species
AUUGAACGCUGGCGGCAGGCCUAACACAUGCAAGUCGAACGGAGCGGCGGACGGGUGAGUAAUGCCUAGGAAUCUGCCUGGUAGUGGGGUAUAACGUCCGGAAACGGACGCUAAUACAGCAUACUUACAGAUGAGCCUCGGUCGGAUUAGCUAGUUUGUGGGGUAAAGGCCUACCAAGGCGACGAUCCGUAACUGGUCUGAGAGGAUGAUCAGUCACAAUGGAACUUAGACACGGCCCAGACUCCUACGGGAGGCAGCAGUGGGGAAUAUUGGACAAUGGGCGAAAGCCUGAUCCAGCCAUGCCGCGUGUGUGAAGAAGGUCUUCGGAUUGUAAAGCACUUUAAGUUGGGAGGCGUUACCAACAGAAUAAGCACCGGCUAACUCCGUGCCAGCAGCCGCGGUAAUAC